UGGAGCAUGUGGUUUAAUUCGACGCAACGCGAAGAACCUUACCAGGGCUUGACAUCCCCUGACCGCGUAUGAAAGUACGUUUUCACCCUCGGGUGACAGGGAGACAGGUGGUGCAUGGUUGUCGUCAGCUCGUGUCGUGAGAUGUUGGGUUAAGUCCCGCAACGAGCGCAACCCCUACGUUUAGUUGCUAACGCGUGAAGGCGAGCACUCUAGACGAACUGCCGUUGACAAAACGGAGGAAGGUGGGGAUGACGUCAAAUCAUCAUGCCCCUUAUGUUCUGGGCUACACACGUGCUACAAUGGCCGGUACAGACGGACGCAAAGCCGCGAGGCGGAGCAAAUCCGAAAAAGCCGGUCUCAGUUCGGAUUGCAGGCUGCAAUUCGCCUGCAUGAAGUCGGAAUCGCUAGUAAUCGCAGGUCAGCAUACUGCGGUGAAUACGUUCCCGGGCCUUGU
rnacentral:rRNA from 1 species